AGAGGGGGCAAGCGUUGCUCGGAAUCACUGGGCGUAAAGGGCGCGUAGGCGGGAUGGCAAGUCGGUCGUGAAAUCCUUCGGCUCAACCGAAGAACGUCGGCCGAUACUGCCGUUCUUGAGGGAUGCAGAGGAGAUUGGAAUUCCCGGUGUAGCGGUGAAAUGUGUAGAGAUCGGGAGGAACACCGGUGGCGAAGGCGGGUCUCUGGGCAUCUCCUGACGCUGAGGCGCGAAAGCGUGGGGAGCAAACGGGAUUAGAUACCCCGGUAGUCCACGCUGUAAACGAUGACGACUAGGUGUGGGGGGGGUUAGUCCUUUCCGUGCCGCAGCUAACGCAUUAAGUCGUCCGCCUGGGGAGUACGGCCGCAAGGUUG
rnacentral:rRNA from 1 species